UACAAAAACUAGGUAUAUAUUAAGCGAAAUAAACAUACACACGUACUGAUUUAAAAUUUCGGACCGAUUGAAAGUCGGAUCGGGUCAGUGAAAGUUCGAAUCGGCCUGCAGUCGUUUCAAACAUCUCCGUGAUUCGGAACUGGCAGUGUGAUUCGGAACUGACCUAUGAACAUGGUUAUGGAAAAUGCAAAGGCCGUUGAUAUUUACCACGAUUUUCAAAUAAUUUUAGUUAUUUUUCAUUUUAGUAACUUCUGAUCUUAUCACAAGACGAUUAAAACGUACAGUAUCUUCGUGUAUUAUACCGCUAGCAAUCGUUAAUGAAAAUGUGAUCCGGAACUAGGCAAACAACUGUUAGAUGGAUCAAUGCCAUUGAGACUAAUCUCUUGAAACACUCCCGGACACCUUGAUACCCAGGCCAUGACAUACAGUUCCUGUAAGUGCUGACAUACCGUCAAAGCAGUGACUUGUGCAACACCGAAUGGUGCAAUCACUUAUUUUUCAACUUUGAAUAUAGGGAUCAACAUGUACUCCACAGAAAAGUUCCAGCAAAACCCAAGGCUGGAAAACAGUUUAGGUGUUCACCAUCUGUGAUCAAUUAAAACAAUGUGUGUCCUUGAACAUUCCGGCUUUUUAUCCUUGAGAGGACAGUUGGCUUAUAAAAAAGUUGAACUGUGUUACGUACUAGCCAGGGGAGUAUUUACGUCGAGAGGGCUAAAGAAAGGAUAAAAUCCACAUACCAGCAGUCUACGAGCCAAUAUUAACCAAGAUAAAUAUGUGCAUGGGAUGCAUUUAACAGUAUAUUAAAUUCUCAUAACUGUUUAUUCAACCGUAAUAUUUUUAAAACUUUUUCUGGGGUGACUGUUAAGUACAAUGCUCUAUAUGUUCACAUCUUCAGGAAUUAAGCACUCGUUUGGUUGGGUUUUUUUUUUAUUUUACAUCGUUUUCUUCAUUUAUUAUUUUUAUUUGCAAAUCCUGUAUGAAUAAAAUAAAACUCGUAUGUCAAAUAGUUUAGUAUAAAUAAAAAAUGCACUAUUGA